rnacentral:misc_RNA from 1 species
ACUUUGAUUGACGCAUACGUUGGAAAACUUGCAGUGGAACCUCUGACUCCACAUCUUGCAUGACAAGUUCCCAGUUGUGCAUUUCAUCUUGCUCUGAAGGAAUAACAAUGAUUGGCAUAUUUGAGGCAUUUUCAGCACCUUCUACAAUAGGUGACUGUGGCACUAUCUUAGAACUCAAUUCGUUAUUGUCCAAGUCAUUAAU